AGCUAGCUGAUGAGUCCCAAUUAGGACGAAACGUACGUGCUAGAU
rnacentral:hammerhead_ribozyme from 1 species